GCAUACAAAACUCAUUGGUAGAGUGUUGGGCUUUUAACUCGAAUGUUUUAGGUUCGAUUCCUAAUGUAUGCA
rnacentral:tRNA from 1 species